CAGCAGUACAGUGUAUAUCCACAAAACAUAUGGGUACCAUUUUCACAGAAUACAUGGAAUGAUAGAGAAUUCUUCAGUGUUUCAGAUUUUUUUUUAUUGUUGGGAAAGUACAUAUAUAUAUAUAUUUUUUUUUUUAAAGAUUUUUGUCACUAAGUGAGUUCUUGUCCUUUUGCUUUUGGAAUGUACUCUUGGUUCCCCCGAAAAGCAUCAGUCAGCACCUGCCAAUCGACUACUGCAAACUAGUCUCCUGAGGUUUUACAGAUGCCUGCAUCACAGAAAUGUCAGCUCUCCUCAUCCUUACUGAAGAGCACUGAUGAGGAGAGACUAAGCGGAGACAGAGGAAUCUAGGUUGGGAAUCUAAGAUACAGGACUUCGUUAACUGACCUGGGUUUGAUUUUACCAUGGAUGGGAGAUGAUUUCAUGAACAAUAACAUUGACAUCCCUUUGAUGAAGUUUGGACUGGCUCCAGGCAUAAAUGACGAGCGUUUGGCUGGGCUGGCAUUUGAUAAAUAAGCUGGUUUAUUUGCACAGGGAGGAUAAACAGCCAAUGGUGUACAGAAGUUCACAGCUCACUCCACACAACAGGCUGACAGGAAAACCCUGGGAAGAGGGCAGAACAUCUAGUCCUGUUAAGUAACACCAGGGAUAACUGGCUAAAUGUGGAAUUUUGAGGUCAAUUCUACAUGAUCCAUGAAAGUGCAACUCAAAUGGUAUCGUUGAAUUCCGACUGUGUCAGCUGACCAUUGUUGGGGAGUAGUGGACUACAUGUACAUUUUGCAGUAGCUUGGUGGUAGUUGAACUAAAUUCCAUUGCUGUACUUAAGUAAAACUACUUUAAAGUACUACUUAAGUAGAUUUGUACUACUUU